UACGUAGGGCGCGAGCGUUGUUCGGAAUUACUGGGCGUAAAGCGCACGUAGGCGGCUUUGUAAGUUAGAGGUGAAAGCCCAGGGCUUAACCCUGGAAUUGCCUUUAAGACUGCAUCGCUAGAAUCGUGGAGAGGUGAGUGGAAUUCCGAGUGUAGAGGUGAAAUUCGUAGAUAUUCGGAAGAACACCAGUGGCGAAGGCGGCUCACUGGUCCGGUACUGACGCUGAGGUGCGAAAGCGUGGGGAGCAAACAGG
rnacentral:rRNA from 1 species